UGCUGUUAACUAGAACUCAAUGACACUGGAAAAGAACAAAAAGGAACUAGCACAAAUGACAGCCUAUUCAAGGAAAUCACAAACAAUUGAAGUGAGGCCCAUGAGAAAGAGCCAAGUUGUAAGAUGUCCAGUUUUAGUCUUACUGGAGAGGAGCAUGAGGAUCUGAUUUUCUUGAAGCAUCUUGAAAGAGGCAAUUGUCGAUCCACGUCAAAAAUUGAUUCAUCAUAUCAUUUGAGUAGGUAACGUCUUAUUGCUCAAAAUUGACAGGAGAAUAUGAGCUCCUGUGACCAUGAGAAGGUCCUCUAAAUCUCCGCACCAAUGAUGUAAACGAACUCUGUAAUGUAUGUG
rnacentral:misc_RNA from 1 species